CACGGAGUUAGCCGAUGCUUAUUCGACGCAUACUCUCAUCGGAACACGCGUGUCCCUUAUUGCUCUGCGUCAAAAGAAGUUUACGACCCAUAGGGCCUUAAUCCUUCACGCGGCAUGGCUGGAUCAGGCUUCCGCCCAUUGUCCAAUAUCCCUCACUGCUGCCUCCCGUAGGAGUCUGGGCCGUGUCUCAGUCCCAGUGUGGGGGGCCUUCCUCUCAGAACCCCUAGACAUCGUCGCCUCGGUGGGCCGUUGCCCCACCGACUAGCUAAUGUCACGCGAACCUAUCAGACACCGCAUAAAUGCUUUCAAUCAACAUGGAUGCCCAUGUCAAUGUUAUGGAAUAUUAGACGACGUUUCCGACGAUUAUCCCCCUGUGUCCGGCAAGUUGUUCACGCGUUACGCACCCGUUCGCCGGUCGCCGACAAUGGUAUUGCUACCAUCUCGUUGCCCCUCGACUUGCAUGUGUUAGGCCUGCCGCUAGCGUUCAU
rnacentral:rRNA from 1 species